rnacentral:lncRNA from 13 species
ACAAAGUACAGUGCAGUGCAGUAAAUCAUGCGGGUAAAACAAAGAGACUUAUCGAUUUACAGAUUGAUUUACCGACGUAUUCUCGUCUAGCGUUCUCGUGCAACCUUGGCAAGCAUAUUUCAACGUGACCGCAUAAUUGGAAUGUGGGAAGAUGGAAACAGCGUACAAAAAAUCGCACGUCGUAUUUCGUGCGGUGAGCGAACCGUGAAAAAUAGAUCAAGCGAUAUCAAGAGAAAGGAGAAGAAGAUAUUUAAUUGGAUAGCGCGAAGGCGUUUACACAAAGCGAACGUGCAUUGGUAUCGUGCCGCGUGUAAAAUUCCUCUAACGAGAAAACAUCGCGAUGACCGUGUAACUUUAGUGCUGCAUAAAUUAAACACGACUAUACUUGAAAAUUGGGACAAAACAUAUCUGGACUAAUGAAAAAGUAUUUUGUUCGGCGGAUGAUCGUCAUUUACAAGUGUGG